UUUUAGAAAUUAAUUUAAAGUCUAACCUGCCCACUGAAUAUUUUAAAUGGCCGCAGUAUCCUAACUGUGCAAAGGUAGCAUAAUCAUUAGUCUUUUAAUUGAAGGCUGGAAUGAAUGGUUGAAUGAAAUAUUAACUGUUUCAUAUAAAUUUAUAAUAGAAUUUUAUUUUUUAGUCAAAAAGCUAAAAUAAAAUUAAAAGACGAGAAGACCCUAUAAAUCUUUAUAUUUAGAUAAUUUUAGUYAUUUAGAUAAAUUAAAUUAUAAUUAUUUUAAAUAUUUUAUUGGGGUGAUAUUAAAAUUUAAUAAACUUUUAAUUUAUARUUAACAUAAAUUAAUGAAUURUUGAUCCAUAUAUUAUGAUUAAAAAAUUAAGUUACUUUAGGGAUAACAGCGUAAUUUUUUUAGAGAGUUCAUAUUGAUAAAAA
rnacentral:rRNA from 1 species